CGUGGAGACGGGCUGCGCGUGACAGAGCGGGCAGCGGCGCGCUGAGCUGACACUACCUCUCGGCUAGGACUCCUGCGGCCCCCGCGUGAUCGCGGGGCGGGUAACCGAGUAAGGCCGGGGGUGGGGGGGCGGCUCCAGGGAGCUGAGACGAGGCCGGGCUUUCUCUGAGGACCCGGCACUACUGAUUCCUCCCCGCGGGGAGGGACUGUUGCUAUGGAAACCAGAGCGCGGGGUAGCCAGGGAUGGUGGCGCCCGGAUGGUGACAGAUCUUCCCUCACCCGGAGACCCUCAGCCGAGGCUUCCGGCGCGGCUGCUUCCUGAACGAACGGGAGAGAGUUUUCCAUGGCAUGGCCUAACAGAAAGAUGUAGCCUUUGUGCCUCCCUGGCCGCUGACCGCCUGGCCUGAUGACAGCACCCCCGUGCACCUUUCCGGUUCAGUUCCGGCAGCCCGUGGUCAGCGGCCUCUCACAGAUCACCAGCAGCCUGUAUAUCAGCAAUGGAGUGGCCGCCAACAACAAGCUCAUGCUCUCCAGCAACCAGAUCACCACGGUCAUCAACGUCUCGGUGGAAGUGGUAAACACCUUAUACGAGGACAUCCAGUACGUACAGGUGCCUGUGGCUGACACACCCAUCUCGCGUCUCUGUGACUUCUUUGAUCCCAUAGCCGACCACAUCCACAGUGUAGAGAUGAAGCAGGGCCGCACGCUCCUGCACUGCGCCGCUGGUGUGAGCCGCUCAGCUGCCCUCUGCCUGGCCUACCUCAUGAAGUACCACGCCAUGUCCCUGCUGGAUGCCCACACGUGGACCAAGUCAUGCCGGCCCAUCAUCCGACCCAACAGUGGGUUUUGGGAGCAGCUCAUCCACUACGAAUUCCAGCUGUUUGGCAAGAAUACCGUGCACAUGGUCAGCUCCCCUAUGGGAGUGAUCCCUGACAUCUAUGAGAAGGAGGUCCAUUUGAUGAUUCCACUGUGAGCCAUCCUACCAGUCCCCGCACCCAGGUCGGGGGUGCAGAUCUGCUGUAGACCCUCCACCACGAUCUGAACUUAAACAUUCUCCUUUUGUUGGUACAGACAAAACAGAUGAUGCCUUUUAUGAGGGUCAGAAAAAAAAGGAAAGGUGCUGUAGAUUUUAACCUUAUUAUCCAUAUCUUCAAAGACGAAAUUCACUAACUGCCCAUUGGUGCAGAGAAGUUUCCAACCCUCUAAGUGACAUGUCACGGCUGCUGGCCAGAGGGGAGAGUGAGGCAAGUGUCCGGGUCAAAGUCCAGCACCUUACGCGUUUAGCAAGCCUAGAAUCCUGCUGUCCUCCACCAGACCGACUAACCCAGGAAUGAAUGAGUCAGCCACAAUUCCACUUUAUUCUUUCAAACCCAAAGCCAGAGCCUUAACCAUCAUGGUGCCUCCUGUGGUGUUCACAAGGCCAACUACCAUGUCAUGAGGACACUCAAGAUGCCCUAUGGAAAGGCCCAUGUGGCAAGGAACCGAGGCCUCCUGCCAACAGCCAUGUGUAUGACCCAUCUCUUGGAAGUGGACCUUCCAGCCCCAGUCAAGCCUUCCUACGACUACAGCCGUGGGUGACAUCCAGAACUAUUCCACUAGGCCACUCCCGAAUACCUAAUGCACAGGAACUGUGAGAUUCUCAUGCAUGUUGCUUUAAGGUACUGUGCUGGUGUUGGUGAGACAACGGUGAGCAGGACAGCUGCCUUGACCCUUCCAGAGCCCGGUCUGGCUCUGGUCGACUAGUUCUGACAAUGGGAUGUGCUCAGCGCCCUGCCUGAAGUGUGGGGGGCUGGGAUGACCUUUCGCUGCGAUUCUCGUCAGCUUCUUCUCGUCAGCUUCGCUUGGAGCAGGGCAGUGGUAAGGGUAGGAAAGAGCUUCCCAAGGAAAGUGACGUCUGUUAUCCUGAAGAGGCUUCCCAGCAAGGACUGGGUACAAAGAUUGAGGCUCGGAGAGGCGGAGUGACUUGCCUGAGACAACUAGUAAAAGGCAGAGCCUUAAGAGACAGUGGCCUGCAUGGGAAUCACCUGCUAAGCCCUUCCCACCAGUGAUUCCAGCAAUGCCCACUCCUGGUGACGCUGUGGCACCAAGAGAGGCCAAACAGGUCACACUGUGAGAAAGGAUAUAAGCCCAGCCCAGGGGGAAUCUCCUCAAUACUGGAUAGCUCUAAGUCUGGUGACAAGCCAGCACCCAGGUCAAGCAUGACUCCAAUUCACCCUGCCCUCCCCUACAACCACCAAGGGCUGGCUUUGAUCGGACAGGGCUUGGGGGCAGUGGGGCAGGCUCACCCUUCAGCCAAGUAUUCCAUGGGGGCCCAGGAACCAGGACGCAGGUGUGAGAGGGAGGCUCCUGCUAUGGCAAUGAGCUCCCUUGAAAGAGAAAGGGUCCUGAGUACUGUGAGGCCCUGCACCCAGAGACAUCUAAUCUGUCCUGUCUGGCCAGGCCUCAGAGUGGAGGUUGGAAAUGCCCAGGCUGCACAGGGACAGGGCUGGGCCAGCGGCAUCUCUGAGUCACAGGCAGGGUGGGUAGUGAGUGACUCAGCCUGAGCCCACUUCCCCUCUGAAAGGCCAGCCUGGGUGGAGACCAGGGCCAGGAAACCCUGCGCCUGUCCUUCGUGGGCCGGGUGCCUGAAGGAAGGUGGUGAGGAUGGAAGGUGGAGCCCGAGGAGAAGAGAAGCAAGAUAGGAGCCAGGUGAGGCCGCAGGGGCCAGAUCUUGAGGGUCCUGUGGUCUGGGGCAGGAAGUUCUGUUUUGUCCCCAGAGCAGUAUAGAGCCCCAGAAGCUGUGUGUUUUAGAAAGAGAAUUCCAGAGCUGUGUGGAAGGUGGAGUGGAGAAACCAGAGCAGAGCAGGGAGGAAGCCACCGCCACCAUGCAGAAAAUGAGCAAUGGCAGCCCGGCCAGUGGAGGGAUUUUAGAGAAGGGGACCCAGACAGGGCAUGAUGGGAAAGGGAGGAUGUCCUGGUUUCUGGGGGAGCAGCUAGCGGCCAGGGGGCCCUGAGCUCUCCCUGUAUUUCCUUGGCUGUAACCCUGAGGAAUGACACAGGUAUACAAGCAAAAAUAGUUUAUUUGAGGAUGGAAGACCCAAAAUUGGGGGGCCCAAGGGUGAGGCUACAGCAGCUGCCUAGAGUUGGCACAGAUGACCCCACUCCCCAGGGGAUCCCAGCAACAAAGAAGCCCUUCCUGGGGCCCCCUAGCUGCCUCCCCCACUUCCUGGAGGAAGGAUUGUGCAAUCGCCAAGAAUCAUCGUCGUCAUCAGAACAUGGUGAGGUUUUCAAAGUUUGGCCAGCAAUUUUUGGAGUAGUAGUUGAUGCUAAUCAUAAUAAUCAGUCCGACAAGCACAGUGAUUGUGCCAGGUCUGGACCCACCAUCCAGUGGUGAGUGAGGUCUGUGAGGAGAGGCAGGCAGGGACAGGAAAUGGUUCUCUCUGGGAGGCAGAGCCUCCAAGGUGGCCUUUCCAGAAGGCCCCUCUCUCUCCCUUGGCUCCAGUGGCUGCCGGCUCUCUACUUUUCCCAUGGCCACUGGCCAACGUUGGAUUCAGGCUAGGGUCCGUCCCAGGGAACCCAGGUGUUCCCCUAGGUCUCAAAGACCUUUGCCAGUCUGGUCCCUCCGCCAGGGGUGCCGGCGGGCAGCCCAGGAGGCCACGAACUCGCAGUUGUGGUAAAGGAACAUUCCUGAAAGGGUGAGUGCAAUGCCCACGUAGCUGAGAGCACUGAGGCGGCUGCCAAAUAGGAGUCGGGACAGGACGAGGUUGCCCACGACAGUGAGGUUGCCCAGGACGUGGACGGUGAGGGCAGAGGUGAGAGCCAGCAGAGAGAAGCUGGCCAAAUUGUAGAGCACGGACAGGAGGCAGCUGAGCAGGAUGCAGGCCCAGAGGUGGGAGUUGGUGGGAGUGGGCGGGGGUGCCACUCCGGCCUCCAGCACCAGGGCCGCACCCGCCAGCAGGCAGAAGCUGGGCAGCGAGGUGGCGUACAGCAGGGUCACCGCGUCCAGCCUCUCCUCCUGCAA